UACGUAGGGUGCGAGCGUUACUCGGAAUUACUGGGCGUAAAGCGUGCGCAGGCGGUUUUGCAAGCCGGGUGUGAAAUUCCCGGGCUUAACCUGGGAAUGGCCUUUGGGACUGCAAGGCUGGAGUGCGGCAGAGGAGAUUGGAAUUCCUGGUGUAGCAGUGAAAUGCGUAGAUAUCAGGAGGAACACCGAUGGCGAAGGCAGGUCUCUGGGCUGACACUGACGCUCAUGCACGAAAGCGUGGGGAGCAAACAGG
rnacentral:rRNA from 1 species